rnacentral:rRNA from 1 species
CUACGGGCGGCUGCAGUGGGGAAUAUUGCACAAUGGGCGCAAGCCUGAUGCAGCCAUGCCGCGUGUAUGAAGAAGGCCUUCGGGUUGUAAAGUACUUUCAGCGGGGAGGAAGGGAGUAAAGUUAAUACCUUUGCUCAUCGACGUUACCCGCAGAAGAAGCACCGGCGAACUCCGCUGCCAGCAGCCGCGGUAAUACGGAGGGUGCAAGCGUUAAUCGGAAUUACUGGGCGUAAAGCGCACGCAGGCGGUUUGUUAAGUCAGAUGUGAAAUCCCCGGGCUCAACCUGGGAACUGCAUCUGAUACUGGCAAGCUUGAGUCUCGUAGAGGGGGGUAGAAUUCCAGGUGUAGCGGUGAAAUGCGUAGAGAUCUGGAGGAAUACCGGUGGCGAAGGCGGCCCCCUGGACGAAGACUGACGCUCAGGUGCGAAAGCGUGGGGAGCAAACAGGAUUAGAUACCCGAGUAGUC